rnacentral:siRNA from 1 species
GGUGAUUGGCUAAUGAUAC